rnacentral:lncRNA from 10 species
CUAUGGUCCACUAUAGCCUCAACCUUCCAGGGCUCAGGUAUUAUAAUAAACUCUUUAGUGGCACUGAGAAAUGACAACAUGCUAGCAGCCCUCGCUCGCCCUGGGUGCCUCCUCAGCCUCGGUGUCUACUCUGGCCGCGCUCCAGGAGCCCUUCAGCCCGCCGCUGCGCUAUGAGGGACCCCUCUGGUGCUGGCCUAGGCCAGAGCUGGCUACCUCUGCUGAAGGGGAAGUGUGAAGAGAGACGCGCCAGCAGGAGCCUGGGCCGCGCCCAUCUCUUGCGGACUAGCGAGGGUUCGGCAAGUCCCGCACUCAGCGCAGCCCGUCGGAGCCUGCUGGGCUUGAUAGGAGGCUGAAUCCCGUGAAUAGACCCCCGUUCCCUCUUCGCGGGAUCGUUGGCCACGAUAGUAGGUCUCCGUCUCUUUCUCGCUCCCCCUCUUUUCCUCUGGAUUGUCUGGGACGAGCUCCCUCUGGGAUGCCAGAGUGCCCGGGCUAGGUGCCACAAAGUCCAGCGGCAAGUGCCAGUGAGAGGUGAAGCCAGCUGGGCUUCUGGGAUGGGUGGGGACUUGGAGAACUUUUCUGUCUAAAGGAUUGUAAACACACCAGUCAGCACUCUGUGUCUAGCUAAAGGUUUGUAAACACACCAAUCAGGGCUCUGUGUCUAGCUAAUCAGAUGCGGACAUGGAGAACUUUUCUGUCUAGCUAAAGGAUUGUAAAAGCACCAAUCAGCACUCUGUCAAAAUGGACCAAUCAGCGCUCUGUAAAAUGGACCAAUCAGCAGGAUGUGGGUGUGGCCAGAGAAGGAAUAAAAGCAGGGCACCUGCGCCAGCAGGCGCAACCUGCUAGGGUCCGUUACCACACUGUGGAGGCUUUGUUCUUUUUGUUAUUUAAAAUAAAUCUUGCUGCUGUUCACUGUUUGGGUCCACCCCGUGUUUAUGAGCUAUAACACUCACCUCAAGGUCUGCAGCUUCACUCCUGAAGUCGGUGAGACCACGAACCCACCAGAAGGAAGAAGCUCCGUACACAUUUGAACAUCUGAAGGAACAAACUCUUGACACACUAUCUUUAAGAACUGUAACACUCACCGCCAUGGGCCGUGGCUUCGUUCUUGAAGUCAGUGAGACCGAGAACCCACCAAUUCUGGAUACAGCAUGAUGUGACCUGACUCUCAACCAGUGGUCGUUGGAAUGUUGGUCUAUUACCCACAUUUCAUUGGAGACGGCAACACACUGCAAAAUGAAGAGUACAGAUGUGGGAGACUAGUUGCCUUAGUUCAGAUCUGUUAAAUUUCCCACAGUUCAGUUUUUUAUUGUAAAUAUUGGACUAUAGAGGUUUUUAUAUUUGAA